GGUUAAGUGACUAAGCGUACACGGUGGAUGCCUAGGCAGUCAGAGGCGAUGAAGGGCGUGCUAAUCUGCGAAAAGCGUCGGUAAGGUGAUAUGAACCGUUAUAACCGGCGAUACCCGAAUGGGGAAACCCAGUGUGUUUCGACACACUAUCAUGUCAUGAAUACAUAGUGGCAUGAGGCGAACCGGGGGAACUGAAACAUCUAAGUACCCCGAGGAAAAGAAAUCAACCGAGAUUCCCCCAGUAGCGGCGAGCGAACGGGGAGGAGCCCAGAACCUGAAUCGGCUUGUGUGUUAGUGGAAGCGUCUGGAAAGUCGCGCAGCAAAGGGUGAUAGCCCCGUACACUAAAAUGCACAGGUCGUGAGUUCGAUGAGUAGGGCGGGACACGUGACAUCCUGUCUGAAUAUGGGGGGACCAUCCUCCAAGGCUAAAUACUCCUGACUGACCGAUAGUGAACCAGUACCGUGAGGGAAAGGCGAAAAGAACCCCGGCGAGGGGAGUGAAAUAGAACCUGAAACCGUGUACGUACAAGCAGUGGGAGCACCUUCGUGGUGUGACUGCGUACCUUUUGUAUAAUGGGUCAGCGACUUAUAUUUUGUAGCAAGGUUAACCGUAUAGGGGAGCCGUAGGGAAACCGAGUCUUAACUGGGCGAUUAGUUGCAAGGUAUAGACCCGAAACCCGGUGAUCUAGCCAUGGGCAGGUUGAAGGUUGGGUAACACUAACUGGAGGACCGAACCGACUAAUGUUGAAAAAUUAGCGGAUGACUUGUGGCUGGGGGUGAAAGGCCAAUCAAACCGGGAGAUAGCUGGUUCUCCCCGAAAGCUAUUUAGGUAGCGCCUCGUGAACUCAUCUUCGGGGGUAGAGCACUGUUUCGGCUAGGGGGCCAUCCCGGCUUACCAAACCGAUGCAAACUCCGAAUACCGAAGAAUGUUAUCACGGGAGACACACGGCGGGUGCUAACGUCCGUCGUGAAGAGGGAAACAACCCAGACCGCCAGCUAAGGUCCCAAAGUCAUGGUUAAGUGGGAAACGAUGUGGGAAGGCAUAGACAGCCAGGAUGUUGGCUUAGAAGCAGCCAUCAUUUAAAGAAAGCGUAAUAGCUCACUGGUCGAGUCGGCCUGCGCGGAAGAUGUAACGGGGCUAAACCAUGCACCGAAGCUGCGGCAGCGACGCUUAGGCGUUGUUGGGUAGGGGAGCGUUCUGUAAGCCGUUGAAGGUGGCCUGUGAGGGUUGCUGGAGGUAUCAGAAGUGCGAAUGCUGACAUAAGUAACGAUAAAGCGGGUGAAAAGCCCGCUCGCCGGAAGACCAAGGGUUCCUGUCCAACGUUAAUCGGGGCAGGGUGAGUCGACCCCUAAGGCGAGGCUGAAAAGCGUAGUCGAUGGGAAACAGGUUAAUAUUCCUGUACUUGGUGUUACUGCGAAGGGGGGACGGAGAAGGCUAGGCUAGCCGGGCGACGGUUGUCCCGGUUUAAGCGUGUAGGGGGUGUGACCUGGUAAAUCCGGUUGCAUA
rnacentral:rRNA from 1 species